UACAGAGGUCCCAAGCGUUGUUCGGAUUCACUGGGCGUAAAGGGUGCGUAGGCGGUCGGGUAAGUCUGAUGUGAAAUCUCACAGCUUAACUGUGAAACUGCAUUGGAUACUAUCCGGCUCGAGGAAUGGAGGGGAGACUGGAAUACUUGGUGUAGCAGUGAAAUGCGUAGAUAUCAAGUGGAACACCAGUGGCGAAGGCGAGUCUCUGGACAACUCCUGACACUGAGGCACGAAAGCUAGGGGAGCAAACAGG
rnacentral:rRNA from 1 species